ACCCGCUGAAWUUAAGCAUAUAAGUAAGCGGAGGAUAAGAAACUAAAUAGGAUUCCCUCAGUAAUGGCGAAUGAACAGGGAUCAGCUCAGCAUGGAAAUUGGGGCCCUCGGCCUUGAAUUGUAGUCUCGAGAUGCAUCGCCAAUGGAGGCGCAGAUGUAAGCCUCUUGGAAAAGAGCAUCAACGAGGGUGAGAGUCCCGUUUGUCAUCUGCAGUCCCCCAUGCACGGCGUGCCUUCUAAGAGUCGCGUUCCUCGGAAUUGGAGCGUCAAUUGGGUGGUAAAUUUCAUCUCAAGCUAAAUAUUGGUUCGAGACCGAUAGCAAACAAGUACCAUGAGGGAAAGGUGAAAAGGACUUUGAAAAGAGAGUUAAAAGUGCCUGAAAUUGCUGAAAGGGAAGCGAAUGGAACCAGUGUUGCUUGGCGAGAUUGUCGUACGCAUUCGCGUGUGGUGGUUCUUGCCUUGUGUGUCAACGCCAGUUCGCGAUCGAGGAAAACUCCAGGGACAUGGUAGCCUACCCCUGGGUGGGUGAAUGUGCCUGGUAGAACUCAUUUGCGGACUGUUUCCUUCGUGUCUGGUUGCAGUGCUGCUUGAUCYUGUGUUGGCGCUUGGGGGUGGGAGCUCGCUCCUCACACCCUGCCCUUCUAAGGUUYUCAGCGCUUCCCUGACACAUAGACGAKGACUAAA
rnacentral:rRNA from 1 species